rnacentral:misc_RNA from 1 species
GAUGAAGAACGUAGCGAAAUGCGAUAAGUAAUGUGAAUUGCAGAAUUCAGGGAAUCAUCGAAUCUUUGAACGCACAUUGCGCCCGCCAGUAUUCUGGCGGGCAUGCCUGUUCGAGCGUCAUUUCAACCAUCAAGCCCCAGGCUUGUGUUGGGGACCUGCGGCUGCCGCAGGCCCUGAAAACCAGUGGCGGGCUCGCUGUCACACCGGGCGUAGUAGAUUUUAUCUCGCUCAGGGCGUGCUGCGGGUUCCGGCCGUUAAAAAGCCUUUUUUACCCAAGGUUGACCUCGGAUCAGGUAGGAAUACCCGCUGAACUUAAGCAUAUCAAUAAGCGGAGGA